rnacentral:rRNA from 1 species
CCUACGGGAGGCAGCAGUGGGGAAUAUUGCGCAAUGGGCGAAAGCCUGACGCAGCGACGCCGCGUGAGGGAUGAAGGUCUUCGGAUCGUAAACCUCUGUCAGCAGGGAAGAAUGGUCACUGUGCUAAUCAGCAGUGAAUUGACGGUACCUGCAAAGGAAGCACCGGCUAACUCCGUGCCAGCAGCCGCGGUAAUACGGAGGGUGCGAGCGUUAAUCGGAAUUACUGGGCGUAAAGCGCUCGUAGGCGGUAUGUCAAGUCAAGGGGGAAAUCCCCGCGCUCAACGUGGGAACUGCCUUUGAAACUGGCAAACUGGAGUGUGUGAGAGGAUAGUGGAAUUCCAGGUGUAGGAAUGAAAUCCGUAGAUAUCUGGAGGAACAUCAGUGGCGAAGGCGACUAUCUGGCACAUAACUGACGCUGAGGAGCGAAAGCGUGGGUAGCAAACAGGAUUAGAUACCCGUGUAGUC